AAUCAUUCUCCUUUGCCUUCUCUCAACUACUUUCUCUAAAUUUGCACUGCAUUUUCUUCCUCGGCCAAAUAUGUAAGGAACUGGUGAAGGCGAAGUGGUAUCGGUGCUGUUCUUCGAAACCACAUCAGAAGAUAUCUGGCUUGCGGGUGAGCCUAAACCAACUAUCCCUAUCCCACCACCCUGCAGUCCUGUGGUCUGAACCAGGUUAUUAUUCAUAGAAGGGUCACCAAUUCCAACCACUGAACCCUUAGCACCCGGACUAGCGAGCUGUGUUGCGUUCAUAAGGUGCAUAGGAGGAGCAAAAGCAACUACUUGUUGCUUGGGAAAGAGUGGCUGUGGCUGCUGUUGCAGCU
rnacentral:lncRNA from 1 species